GGGGCUGGCACCAGCUAGGGAACCUUUGUGCCUUGGAGCAGGGGGCUCGGAGGGCAGGGGGCUGUCUGCCAGCUUCGGGCCCCCCAGCUCAUCUCGCUGCAGCAGGGACAGUGGCAUCAGACUGCGCAGCGAUGUCCCUGUCCCCCACAGUCCUGCCCAUGUCCGUUGCAGGGCCAGGGUGUCCUUCCCAGCCUGGCAGCAUCGCUGCCUGCACCCUGCCUUCAGGCAGCUGCCCCUUCCUGAGGGUGAGACAGCCAGACCAGCCCCCUCGGAGUGCUGGGGGGCCAGAGUUUGGCCUUUUUCUCCCUUUAGAAAGUGGUGGCUGGGCUGUCACCAUGUGCUGCCUUUGGCUGGACCUUGAGCAGUGGGACCCACUAGCAUUCCCCUGCCUGGCCAGGCCAUCACCAUGGCCUCAGGGCUGCCACCCCCUACGCACAGGAUAGCGCAACCGUCCACCAUGCCGGGGCCCAGUGUCCCUGUGUGCUCAGGCCAGCCCUGCCGCCAGCAUACCUGCCCUGUGCCCCAGCCUGCCAGGGACCACUCGGGGCUCCCCCUGGGCCCCCUCUGCCUCGGCAUACCCCCAUCCAGCUCCCUCUAGAUGCAAUACCAACCAUCCCAUUCCUGCAGGACACCGGGAGCCUCAACACCCUCCCCCCUCUUUCUGGGGGGGUGUCUUGCCUGUGCAGGGUACCCCCAACUACCUCAGGCCUCCAGGCCAGGUUGGGGCUGGGGAUGAUGAGGGAGUCGUGGUGGGGGCUCGGGGGUGGCGGCACCAUUCCCUCGGCCGAACUCCCUUCUCCUUUUUGUAUCUCGGCUGGGUGCUGGUGGGGGGAGGGUGUCCCCCCUGCAGUCCCCAGCACUGGUGGCUGGUGCUGGGGACAGUGGGAGUGCCCCUGCUCUGCACGUUGAGUUGUUUUGGUUUUUUUUUCAUUGUAUAAUAAUUACUAUGUUGUGUGUGUUCAAUUUUUCAAUAAAGCCUUCAGCCCAGCCCUGCGGCUCCAGGGCGGGUGGCAGGGA
rnacentral:lncRNA from 1 species